AAUUUUCCGCAAUGGACGCAAGUCUGACGGAGCAACGCCGCGUGAGCGACGAAGGUCUUCGGAUUGUAAACCUCUGUUGUCAGGGAAGAAUAAGUGCCGGAGUCACUGCCGGCACCUUGACGGUACCUGCCCAGAACGCCACGGCUAACUACGUGCCAGCAGCCGCGGUAAUACGUAGGUGGCAAGCGUUGUCCGGAAUUAUUGGGCGUAAAGCGCGCGCAGGCGGUCCCUUAAGUCUGAUGUGAAGGCCCCCGGCUUAACCGGGGAGGGUCAUUGGAAACUGGGGGACUUGAGUGCAGAAGAGAAGAGCGGAAUUCCACGUGUAGCGGUGAAAUGCGUAGAGAUGUGGAGGAACACCAGUGGCGAAGGCGGCUCUUUGGUCUGUAACCGACGCUGAGGCGCGAAAGCGUGGGGGGCAAAC
rnacentral:rRNA from 1 species